GAUUAACGCUAGCGGCAGGCCUAACACAUGCAAGUCGAGGGGCAGCACGGGGUAGCAAUACUCUGGUGGCGACCGGCGCACGGGUGAGUAACGCGUAUGCAACCUACCUUUAACAGGAAGAUAGCCCCGAGAAAUCGGGAUUAGUACUCCAUAAUGAUUAAAAGCUGCAUGGUUUUUAAUUUAAAGUUCCGACGGUUAAAGAUGGGCAUGCGUGACAUUAGUUAGUUGGUGAGGUAACGGCUCACCAAGACCACGAUGUCUAGGGGUUCUGAGAGGAUUAUCCCCCACACUGGUACUGAGACACGGACCAGACUCCUACGGGAGGCAGCAGUGAGGAAUAUUGGUCAAUGGUCGCAAGACUGAACCAGCCAUGCCGCGUGCAGGAUGAAUGUUCUAUGAAUUGUAAACUGCUUUUUCUAAGGGAAGAAACCUAUCUACGUGUAGGUAGUUGCCGGUACCUUAGGAAUAAGCAUCGGCUAACUCCGUGCCAGCAGCCGCGGUAAAGUAUCG
rnacentral:rRNA from 1 species